rnacentral:tRNA from 1 species
UAUUCCUACAUGGAUUGCAACCAUGACUAAUGAUAUGAAAAACCAUUGUUGUAUUUCAACUAUAAGAAU